AGAGUUUGAUCCUGGCUCAGAGCGAACGUUAGCGGCGGGCUUAACACAUGCAAGUCGAACGAGAAAGUUCCCUUCGGGGAGCGAGUAAAGUGGCGGACGGGUGAGUAACACGUGGGUAAUCUGCCCUUGAGUGGGGAAUAACUUUGGGAAACCGAAGCUAAUACCGCAUACGAUCCUUCGGGAUGAAAGCUUUAUGCGCUCAAGGAUGAGCCCGCGGUCGAUUAGCUAGUUGGUGGGGUAAUGGCUCACCAAGGCUACGAUCGAUAGCCGGCCUGAGAGGGCACACGGCCACACUGGCACUGAGACACGGGCCAGACUCCUACGGGAGGCAGCAGUGGGGAAUCUUGGUCAAUGGGGGGAACCCUGAACCAGCGACGCCGCGUGACCGAUGAAGGCCCUCGGGUCGUAAAGGUCUUUCGACGGGGACUAUAAUGAAGGUACCCGUAAAAGCAGGAGCGGCUAACUAUGUGCCAGCAGCCGCGGUAAUACAUAGGCUCCAAGCGUUGUUCGGAAUUACUGGGCGUAAAGCGAGUGUAGGCUGUCCGCCAAGUCGAUUGUGAAAUCUCCCGGCUCAACUGGGAGGGUGCGGUCGAAACUGGCGGACUAGAGUUCGGGAGAGGAGAGUGGAAUUCCUGGUGUAGCGGUGAAAUGCGUAGAUAUCAGGAGGAACCCGGCGGUGAAGACGGCUCUCUGGACCGAUACUGACGCUGAGACUCGAAAGCGUGGGGAGCAAACAGGAUUAGAUACCCUAGUAGUCC
rnacentral:rRNA from 1 species